AUGCUAUUCUCAGUUUCAUUAUUACUCUCUGCGUGUUCCACAUGUGGCACAUUGUCUGAAGUGUAUGAAUUUCCAUGUAACAUGAUGGAUCCUUCAUCUUCAGCUACCUAUAACAAGUGUUGUCAAAAAGUCCUACUUCCCAGGGAUUUGAAGAAGCUGGAUCAAUACUCGCUUCAUCUCCUUGUGUUAGUUGCGGGACCUGCAAACAUGGUAGAAGGAAUGCUUCGCCAUUCUGAGUUGCAUGCCCAUCUCAAGUUACAAAGGCAGGCAACAUAUAACCCUGCUCCUCCAGUGUGCAUUGGCAGCAAGAAAGAAAGUAGGUUUCUAGCGAGGAGUUUCUUCCACAAGUAUCAACUUGAGAUCUUUGAUGAUGCCAUGAGAAUUUCGUGUUCUCUUCCAAAAGUGUGUGAAGAAGAACAAAAAUGUCAAUAA
rnacentral:rRNA from 1 species